GUGAAGAUGGCUCAGUGGUAGAGUGCUUGCCUUGCAUGCAUGAGGCCCUGGGUUCGAUUCCUCAGCACC
rfam:Dipodomys ordii contig_33061, whole genome shotgun sequence.